rnacentral:rRNA from 1 species
CCUACGGGAGGCAGCAGUGAGGAAUAUUGGUCAAUGGACGAGAGUCUGAACCAGCCAAGUAGCGUGAAGGAUGACUGCCCUAUGGGUUGUAAACUUCUUUUAUAUGGGAAUAAAAUGUUCCACGUGUGGGCUUUUGUAUGUACCAUAUGAAUAAGGAUCGGCUAACUCCGAGCCAGCAGCAGCGGUAAUACGGUGGGUCCGGGCGUUAUCCGGAUUUGGGUGAUUUAAAGGGAGCGUAGGUGGAUUGUUAAGUGAGUUGUGAUAGUUUGCGGCUCAACCGUAACAUUGCAGUUGAAACUGGCAGGCUUGAGUACAGUAGGGGGGGGCGGAAUUCGAGGUGUAGCGGUGAAAUGCUUAGAGAUCACGAAGAACUCCGAUUGCGAAGGCAGUUCACUGGACUGCAACUGACACUGAGGCGCGAAAGUGUGGGUAUCAAACAGGAUUAGAUACCCUAGUAGUC